rnacentral:rRNA from 1 species
AUGCCUAACACAUGCAAGUCGAACGGUAACAGGCCCGCAAGGGUGCUGACGAGUGGCGGACGGGUGAGGAAUACAUCGGAAUCUACCCGGUUGUGGGGGAUAACGUAGGGAAACUUACGCUAAUACCGCAUACGACCGAGAGGUGAAAGCGGGGGAUCGCAAGACCUCGCGCGAUCGGAUGAGCCGAUGUCGGAUUAGCUAGUUGGCGGGGUAAAGGCCCACCAAGGCGACGAUCCGUAGCUGGUCUGAGAGGAUGAUCAGCCACACUGGGACUGAGACACGGGCCAG